UACGUAGGGUGCAAGCGUUAAUCGGAAUUACUGGGCGUAAAGCGUGCGCAGGCGGCUAUGCAAGACAGAUGUGAAAUCCCCGGGCUCAACCUGGGAACUGCAUUUGUGACUGCAUGGCUAGAGUACGGCAGAGGGGGAUGGAAUUCCGCGUGUAGCAGUGAAAUGCGUAGAUAUGCGGAGGAACACCGAUGGCGAAGGCAAUCCCCUGGGCCUGUACUGACGCUCAUGCACGAAAGCGUGGGGAGUAAACAGG
rnacentral:rRNA from 1 species